rnacentral:rRNA from 1 species
GAGUUUGAUCCUGGCUCAGAACGAACGCUGACGGCGGGCCUCAUACAUGCAAGUCGCGCGCGAAAGUCCGCAAGGAUGAGUAAAGCGGCGCACGGGUGAGUAACACGUGGGUAAUCUACCUCGAGGAUUGGAAUAACACGUCGAAAGAUGUGCUAAUACCAAGUAAGCUUCACGAAUCGUAAAGUUUUGUGGAGGAAAGCUGGCGCAAGCAAGCGCCUUGAGAUGAGCCUGCGUUCCAUUAGUUUGUUGGUGAGGUAAUGGCUUACCAAGACUACGAUGGAUAACUGGUCUGAGAGGAUGAUCAGUCACACUGGAACUGAAACACGGUCCAGACUCCUACGGGAGGCAGCAGUAGGGAAUAUUGCGCAAUGGGGGAAACCCUGACGCAGCCACGCCGUGUGGGUGAGGAAGGCCUUC